rnacentral:rRNA from 2 species
GCUCCCGGAUGUUAGCGGCGGACGGGUGAGUAACACGUGGGUAACCUGCCUGUAAGACUGGGAUAACUCCGGGAAACCGGAGCUAAUACCGGAUAGUUCCUUGAACCGCAUGGUUCAAGGAUGAAAGACGGUUUCGGCUGUCACUUACAGAUGGACCCGCGGCGCAUUAGCUAGUUGGUGAGGUAACGGCUCACCAAGGCGACGAUGCGUAGCCGACCUGAGAGGGUGAUCGGCCACACUGGGACUGAGACACGGCCCAGACUCCUACGGGAGGCAGCAGUAGGGAAUCUUCCGCAAUGGACGAAAGUCUGACGGAGCAACGCCGCGUGAGUGAUGAAGGUUUUCGGAUCGUAAAGCUCUGUUGUUAGGGAAGAACAAGUGCAAGAGUAACUGCUUGCACCUUGACGGUACCUAACCAGAAAGCCACGGCUAACUACGUGCCAGCAGCCGCGGUAAUACGUAGGUGGCAAGCGUUGUCCGGAAUUAUUGGGCGUAAAGGGCUCGCAGGCGGUUUCUUAAGUCUGAUGUGAAAGCCCCCGGCUCAACCGGGGAGGGUCAUUGGAAACUGGGAAACUUGAGUGCAGAAGAGGAGAGUGGAAUUCCACGUGUAGCGGUGAAAUGCGUAGAGAUGUGGAGGAACACCAGUGGCGAAGGCGACUCUCUGGUCU